AUUCAGUCUGGAGGAUAAUGGGCUCGCAUGGCUCACUUGCGAUUCCCACACGGGACCGUGCCAUGCGUUCAUGCGCCUAUGAUCUGCCCAGCGCAUUUCCUUCGGCUCGAAAGGACGCCGCAGCCGGUUGGGUCUGCAAAUAGACGGCCAUGCGCGUGGCAUACGGGAAGUUGGCUGGUGGUGGGGCUCGCCCUCGCUGCCAGUUCUAGCCCGCCAUUGCUGGCUCGUCACCCGACCGAGGAAUCUGCAGGUUGCAUUCGUGCAGCCUCUACGUCUCCUCUUCUACAAGAGAUGCGGAGAGGGAAACAGACACGCCCUGGCGAUGAAUAACCACGCACGAGCCGUGGUCUGCACGCUAGAGAUGUCGCUAGUUGCCUAUCGUGCCGCGGGAGAUGCAGGAGGCUAGCGGCGAUUUGGUCGGUCACUCACCCGCCCCGUCUUGAAACACGGACCAAGGAGUCUAACAUGUACGCGAGUCAAUGGAUCUUGACGAUGCCCAGAGGCGCAAUGAAAGUGAAGAGUGGUCUCUGUGAUCACUUGCGUUGGGAUUCUGCUGUCGCUGCGCAGCGAGACGCACCAACUACCCGUCCAUUCCGGUCGCCGGUGGGGCGGAGUGUGAGCGUACACGUUGGGACCCGAAAGAUGGUGAACUAUGCCCGGGCAGGAUGAAGCCAGAGGAAACUCUGGUGGAGGUCCGUAGCGGUUCUGACGUGCAAAU
rnacentral:rRNA from 1 species